rnacentral:rRNA from 1 species
AACGAACGCUGGCGGCAGGCUUAACACAUGCAAGUCGAACGGGUGUAGCAAUACAUCAGUGGCAGACGGGUGAGUAACACGUGGGAACCUUCCUAGGGGUACGGAACAACUCAGGGAAACUUGAGCUAAUACCGUAUACGUCCGUGAGGAGAAAGAUUUAUCGCCCUUAGACGGGCCCGCGUCGGAUUAGGUAGUUGGUGGGGUAACGGCCUACCAAGCCUACGAUCCGUAGCUGAUCUUAGAGGAUGAUCAGCCACACUGGGACUGAGACACGGCCCAGACUCCUACGGGAGGCAGCAGUGGGGAAUCUUGGACAAUGGGCGCAAGCCUGAUCCAGCCAUGCCGCGUGAGUGAAGAAGGCCUUAGGGUUGUAAAGCUCUUUUACCAGGGACGAUAAUGACGGUACCUGGAGAAUAAGCCCCGGCAAACUUCGUGCCAGCAGCCGCGGUAACAC